CGAACCCAUCGAUUUUAGGGUUUAAUAUUUGAUUUCAGUUUUUCGAUUUCAUUUGUGAAUCUGAUUCUUUCGAUUUCAGUUUUUCCAUUUCUUCUAUUUCUUUCGGUUUUAGGGUUUCAUAGUGAAUCUAAUACGAUUUUUUUUGUUUCCAUUUUAGGGUUUAUCAAGAUUGAAGAACUGAAGUACUUUGGAGAUCUGAAGAACAUUGAAGUUCAUCAGAGUUUGAAGAAUAAGGAAGAACUAAGAAGGUGUUAUUGGAUUUGAAAAGCGGACAUCAAAGGGUAAGGGUUGUAUAGCGGAUUGAGGUUGGAACUUACAUUACUCUUUU